GGGAUACAUAGAAAUAUAAUGAAAAAAGGCAGUGAACAGAAUGAAAUAUAUGGAAUACAACGAGAUACAUUGAAUUACAAUAAAAAAAUACAAUGAAUAUAAUGAAAUACAUGAAAAUACAGCAUGAUUCGUUGAAAAUACAUUGAAAUAUAUUAACAGAAAAUCAAGUUGCUUAGCCUCAAACUCCGUCGACUUUAUUCAAGAACAAACCCUAAUUUCCGGCAAAUCCGCCGUCGAGCAAUGGUAGCAGAAUAACGAGCUGUUAACCACCAUUAACGAGCAGAUGAUUACAACUUCUGAAGCAGCAACAACAUAAUCUUCAUAUAAAUCAAACCUGAUGAGGAUGUGCCUUCUCGCUAACCACCCAAUCAAGCUACGACCUUGAGUUCCAAGCAGUUUUGGCAAGAACUUUCGAAGUUCAUUCAUCUCCAAUCUCUCAAACGAAAAUGUUAAUGCUAGAGCCUGAUGUAGGCCUUCUUCAACAGUAAACUUUCCAAGUUCCUCCAUAAUAAACACAACAGUAGGUUUUCCAUGAACUAUUUCAAUAGGUUUAAGAAUUGUUUUUGAUGGAUUUUGAGCAGGUUUGUUUGUGAGCACUCUCGUAGCGUAUGUAGUGGCUGGGUUAGGGUUUAAAUUUGUCUCUCCCUCACCGGCAUGUACCAAAGUAGAGAGAGAAAGAAAAUAGUGUAACUGAAUAGCGUACUUAUUGGCUUAGGGGUAGGAGGUAACCAAUAUUAGAUAUUUUGCUAUAAACAUUAAAA
rnacentral:lncRNA from 1 species